rnacentral:ncRNA from 1 species
AGUUUCAGCGCCGCCCCGUUAUUCAUCGGCAAUAUGGUCUGCACGGACCCCUUGCCAAACGUCUUGGUUCCCAGGAUCAGCGCGCGGCCAUGGUCCUGCAGUGCUCCGGCGACGAUCUCGGAAGCCGACGCAGAGCCCCGGUUGACCAGGACAACCAUCGGCGCACCUUCCAACACAUCGCGCGCUGUGGCACUAAAGGUGUAAUCGGCGUCGGCGGUACGCCCCCGAGUCGACACAAUGACGCCUUCGCGCAGAAAAAGAUCACUGACUUCCACAGCGCCAUUGAGCACCCCGCCCGGAUUGUUACGA